rnacentral:rRNA from 1 species
UACGGAGGGUGCAAGCGUUAUUCGGAAUUACUGGGCGUAAAGCGCACGCAGGCGGUCUGGUAAGUCAGAUGUGAAAUCCCAGGGCUCAACCUUGGAACUGCAUCUGAUACUGGCAAGCUUGAGUAUCGAAGAGGGGGGUAGAAUUCCAGGUGUAGCGGUGAAAUGCGUAGAGAUCUGGAGGAAUACCGGUGGCGAAGGCGGCCCACUGGACGAAGACUGACGCUGAGGUGCGAAAGCGUGGGGAGCAAACAGG